AGAAUAAAAGCAAUCUUUUCAUCUGCAUAACGAUUGUCUUGUUUGUUUUUCAAAGAGCUUUUCAUAUCAAAAUCUUUAUGCAGGUUGUUUCUCAAACCCAUUGAACAUAGUGAUCGGACGUCAUCUCCCAAUUUUGAAUUCCCUGUAUUCAAAGCGGACGAAGAUGGUGUUGAAGGGAUUCCUGACGAGAUUUCCCGACUUCUUGAGCAAGAAAAGAAGAUCACUCAGCUGCAUCUCAAGAAUCAGCAGAACAGCCAACUGGGGCAUUAUCAGAAAAACAAACAAACAAUCAAACAAAAAAAAAAGAAGAAAGAAAGAGGAGGGUGCAAAAAUCAAAAGAAAUCAAAAGCAAAAUCAAAAGUAAAUCAAAAGUUAGAAAAAAAAAAAAAGAGAG
rnacentral:lncRNA from 1 species